GCUCAAAUUUGAAAUCUGGCGUCUUUGGCGUCCGAGUUGUAAUUUGAAGAAGGUAUCUUUGGGCCCGGCUCUUGUCUAUGUUCCUUGGAACAGGACGUCACAGAGGGUGAGAAUCCCGUGCGAUGAGAUGACCCGGGUCUGUGUAAAGUUCCUUCGACGAGUCGAGUUGUUUGGGAAUGCAGCUCUAAGUGGGUGGUAAAUUCCAUCUAAAGCUAAAUAUUGGCGAGAGACCGAUAGCGAACAAGUACAGUGAUGGAAAGAUGAAAAGAACUUUGAAAAGAGAGUGAAAAAGUACGUGAAAUUGUUGAAAGGGAAGGGCUUGAGAUCAGACUUGGUAUUUUGCAUGCUGCUCUCUCGGGGGCGGCCGCUGCGGUUUACCGGGCCAGCAUCGGUUUGGAGCGGCAGGAUAAUGGCGGAGGAAUGUGGCACGGCUUCUGCUGUGUGUUAUAGCCUCUGACGAUACUGCCAGCCUAGACCGAGGACUGCGG
rnacentral:rRNA from 1 species